GAGUGACGCUGGUGUGUCAGCUGGCCCCGGAGGAUGCUGGGAGUGUUGAGUCAUGAGGCUGCCGGUGGGUCCGGGCUGAAAUCAGGAGAAGAGCCGGGCAGUGCGGGGCAGUGCGGGGAGCAGGAGGUGAGACACAUCAGGCAGUGAACGUUCAAGAUACCUAAGAGCAAUGACCCCACCUGCUGCUGUCUAAUAGAGUUUCCCCCUGAUAUUCCACCUAUUCCCCAUCUCUAUCUUGUGCCACAUUAUACCGCAGCCAUGUACGGGAGCGCUAGAACAAUCACCAAUUUAGAGGGCAGCCCUUCCAGAUCCCCUCGUUUGCCAAGAUCACCUCGUUUGGGCCACAAGCGGACAAGCAGCGGAGGAGGCGGGGGAGCGGGUAAGACUUUAUCAAUGGAGAACAUCCAGUCACUUAAUGCAGCCUAUGCAACUUCUGGACCCAUGUACUUGAGCGACCAUGAAGGGGUGGCUUCUACUACCUACCCGAAAGGCACCAUGACUCUUGGAAGGGCUAGCAAUCGAGCUAUGUAUGGCGGGAGGGUGACAGCCAUGGGAAGCAGCCCCAAUAUUGCUUCCGCUGGACUGACACACACAGACGUUCUGUCCUACAUUGACCACAUUGGCUUAACCAGCUCUUCCCACCAUCACCAUCACCACGUUCCCUCCAUGCUGAGACAAGUCCGGGACAGCACCCUGCUGGAUCUACAGGUUCAGCUGAAGGACUUGCAAAGGGAAAAUGAGCUUCUUCGGAAAGAACUGGACAUCAAGGACAGCAAGUUGGGGUCAUCCAUGAAUAGUAUUAAAACUUUCUGGAGCCCGGAGCUGAAGAAGGAAAGAGUUCUGAGGAAGGAGGAGGCAGUUCGGAUGUCUGUUCUGAAGGAGCACACGAGAGUGUCCAAUGAGGAGAACCAGCAUUUGGAUUCCAGGAAAACAAAGCAUCUGCAGCUGACCAUCCAGGCCCUCCAAGAUGAACUCCGAACCCAGAGAGACCUCAACCACCUCCUGCAGCAGGAAAGUGGGAACCGAGGAGCUGAACACUUCACCAUAGAACUCACCGAGGAGAACUUCCGGAGGCUUCAGGCGGAACACGACAGGCAAGCCAAAGAACUGUUUCUUCUCAGGAAAACGCUGGAAGAGAUGGAGCUGAGGAUCGAGACUCAAAAGCAGACACUAAAUGCCCGAGAUGAGUCCAUCAAGAAGCUUCUAGAAAUGCUGCAGAGCAAAGGGUUGCCUUCCAAAGGGAUGGACAUGGAGGAGAACGAGAAAACGCGCAGAAUGGUGGAAGCCGAGUCACAGAUUAACCAUCUAGAAGUACUUUUGGACCAAAAGGACAAAGAGAAUAUUCAUUUAAUAGAGGAGCUGCACAGGCGCAACCAACUCCAUCCCGAGUCGGCCAAAACAAAGGCUCUUCAGACCGUCAUAGAGAUGAAGCGAUCACCAUCUUUGUGUUUUGAUCCAGAUUUUAUUUGGCAGGACACCAAAAUUUCAUCACUAGAGAGGAACAUCAGAGACCUUGAAGAUGAAAUCCAGAUGAUUAAAACAAACGGAGUCUUACAUACAGAAGACAGGGAAGAAGAGAUGAAGCAAAUGGAAAUGUACAAAAGCCAUUCAAAGUUCAUGAAAAGCAAGCUUGACCAGCUGAAGCAAGAGCUGUCCAAGAAAGAGACGGAACUCCUUGCCUUACAAACCAAGCUGGAAACUCUCGGCAAUCAGAAUUCUGACUGCAAACAACACAUAGAGGUGCUUAAGGAGUCCCUGACAGCAAAGGAGCAGAGAGCAGCCAUCCUGCAGACAGAGGUGGACGCAUUGAGGCUUCGACUAGAGGAAAAGGAAUCGUUUCUCAACAAGAAGACCAAACAGCUGCAGGAUUUAACGGAAGAGAAGGGGACGUUGGCCGGAGAAAUCCGAGACAUGAAGGACAUGUUGGAAGUAAAGGAGAGAAAAAUUAACGUCUUGCAGAAAAAAAUUGAAAACCUUCAGGAGCAGUUGAGAGACAAAGACAAACAACUGAUCAACCUGAAAGACCGAGUCAAGUCGUUGCAGACUGAUUCCAGUAAUACAGACACAGCCCUGGUGACGCUGGAAGAAGCUCUCUCCGAAAAGGAGCGAAUCAUUGAGCGUUUGAAAGAACAACGGGAAAGAGACGAUCGAGAGCGACUAGAGGAAAUAGAAAACUACAAGAAGGAAAACAAAGAUCUGAAAGAGAAAAUCAACGCGUUGCAGGCUGAGCUGACAGACAAAGAGACAAGCCUAAUUGACUUGAAGGAACACGCCUCAACGCUCUCCUCCUCUGGAGUGAAACGAGAUUCCAAACUGAAGUCGCUGGAAAUCGCCAUCGAGCAGAAGAGAGAAGAGUGCAGUAAGUUAGAGGCGCAGCUAAAAAAGCAAGCUGAGCAGUUGUUCAAUCAGAUGUACGACCCCACAUCGGUUAGGAGUAAUGAGAAGCAAGGGGCUCAUGAAGCUGAAGAGGAGGUGCGCAUGAACCCCGACUUUUCCGACAGACUCAUACAGUUGGACAAUGAAGUCUCCUACUACAGGGAAGAGUGCAGCAAGGCCCAGGCUGAGGUCGACCGACUGCUGCAGAUUCUGAAGGAGGUGGAGAAUGAGAAGAAUGAUAAAGACAAGCAGAUUGCCGAGCUGGAAAGCUACGGUCUGAUCCCCAGGCUCAUGAAGGAUCAGAACAAGAAGGUGGCCAACCUGAAGCACAAUCAACAGAUGGAGAAGAAAAAGAAUGCACAGCUUCUGGAAGAUGCCCGGAGAUGGGAUGACAAUAUCCCGGACAAUGCUCAGCAAAUGCAGAUAGAGGAACUGAUGAACACUCUAGACAAGACGAGGCAAGAGCUGGACUCUACUAAGGGCCGUCUGGCCUCCUCUCAGCACUCGCUGUCAGAGAAGGAAGCUCACCUGUCUAACCUGCGGGCAGAGCGUAGGAAACAGAUGGAGGAGAUACUGGAUAUGAAGCAAGGAGCCCUGCUGGCCGCAAUCAGUGAGAAAGAUGCCAACAUUGCUUUGCUCGAACUCUCUGCCUCAAAGAAGAAAAAGACUCAAGAUGAAGUUAUGGCUCUGAAACGAGAAAAGGACAGACUCGUACUGCAAUUAAAGCAACAGACCCAGAACAGGAUGAAACUAAUAGCAGACAACUAUGAAGAUGACCACCACCACCACCAUUACCACCACCACCAUCAUCACCGGACUCCAGGGAAAGCUCAGCACCCCAACCACAGACCCUCUCCGGAACAGGACGAGGAGGAGGGGAUAUGGGCAUAACUACUCCUGAGAACCAAAGUUUCCUUUUCAUUUUGUGGGGUGAUCCCAUCCCUGCCGGAGCUACAGCCACGACACGUCUCAUGUAUCUACAUCCACCAACUAUCCAACCUUAGCCUAGAGCACGACUGCCACACUUUCCAUCUCAGAGAAUGAGGAAAAGGAAGGGGACGUGAAGGAGACAUCUCAUCUAACCAAACAUCUAUAUUUUAACACCUGAGCAGGUAGUUAAAGAAGAGCAAGACACCUAAGAAUGAAAGGCAGAUCUCUAUGCUGGUCUUCAAAUCCAGAAACCUCCCUUAAUGACGCCACCAAGCAAGAACCUAACGAAGAGCCCUGCUACCACCGGAGAAACCUCAAGCAGAAUAAAAAGGCAUGUUCUAUGCAAUCCUUGCUAUAAUGAGGAAGGUAUACAAGAUAUGGUCUCCUCCUCAAAGGUCUCCUAGGGGUGUAGCAAAGAUGCCUUUCCACUUGGGCGCAGUAGGCAUCAAUAAAUAUUGAGCCCUGUAUUUGCAUUAAGGUAUGGGAGUAAAUAUUAGAAUAUCCCAAAAAAAAAAUCUACUUGGUAAAUUCUGCCUCUUAUUGUAGCUGCCAUUUUGAAUACAUUUAAUAAUGGUGUUAAUGAUGUCAUCUUUACUCUUUCCAGUCAACAUCCUUUUCCCCAAAUGCUUCAAGGGAAUAUAACCCUUCUCUGUUCUCUUGAAUUUUAUGUGGCCUAAUGACUCCAAUCAAAGGUUGGGCAUGAUAAAUGGACAUUGAAUUUGUUGGGUCCUUAUGCUACAUACACACCUCACCAAGCCAAGAGGUCCCAGUCACAUCGGUUGCAAGACCAGGGAUGUCCAACCUCUGGCUCUACUUCUUGAAUGACAUAUCCCACCAUUGCCUUAUUCGUUUGAGGUGGAAGGUAAAGGUCAACAACAGCAGUAGGACCAUUUGUUGGACAUCGCUUCUGUAGAUUAGGAAACCUCAAUGGCAGCUCUUGCUAAUCAUAUACUACCUGGCUAUAGGCUACUUGGAAAUGUAGGUCUGCCACAGGUGGAAGAUCCUUAAUCCCAGAUUAUUCUUAGAGUAGAACCAUAAACCUAAAAUGCAUACGUCUCUUGUCCAUAGCAAGCUACCCAAAAACAUGGGGUUGUUUCAGAAAGCCAAAAAUAUGUAUGUCGGAGUCUUCCCACCUCCUCCAGUCCCCCUUUCCAUUGGUAUUUAUAUGGUUUCUCCAACAACAGUGGCUUCCUGCUCAGGUGACCAGGAAGUUGGACUUGGUCUUCUUCUAAAACACGGGACAUAAAAAUGAUAAACUCCUUUUAUUCUAUUAAGUUAGUAAACCUUCCAGCUGUACUUUCUCCUUGGCAAACCGAAAAGCCUACACUCAACUGGAUUGGCCUUUUUGACCCAGGAAAUAUCUCAUGGUUCAUCCCAAGACCUGAAUGCAGUCAAUAAAUGAUGAGAUAAAAACCCCCGUUAAAGUACAGUUAUUGUCAAACUCUGGGCCAGGUUGGAAAUCAAAUAAUUUGUAAUGGAAACAUUUAACCUUUUGCUCCCAAGUCGACUGUGGAGUCAAGCACUACCCAUGUAUGCCAGGCAUUAAUGGGUCAAGCAUUAGAAUUGUGGCGUGUUCCUCUGACACAGUAUGGGACAUCUGAAUCAAUGACAUCAUUUCGAGUAGCACCGAUGUUCUAAAGGCCACAGCAUCUGCACGUGGUCGGGUUCCACCCUGAGAACCUUGGUGCUCACCAGGAGAUGAGUUAAUACUGUUAUAAUGCUCUGUACAUGUAUUAUUAGUUUCCUACAAUUGUGACGUCACAGCUGGAUGAAUAUAACAAUGAUGUUGAUGGGACGUUGUGAUCUUAACGUUGUGACAUUCUUACUCAUGGGACUAUAAGGAAUAAGGUCACCACGACUAGAAUUUCUAAGGAUAUUAGAAGCUGGUGGCAUGACUUACCCUUGGGUUUUGUGCUUUUAUAUGGUGGUUCGAUUCUUCGAUGACUUUUAAUAUCCUUAGAAAUGAUAGUUGUGGGUGCACUGUCUAUAUAUAUAUAUAUAUUUCUAUCAUCUUCAGAUUAUAACUGAAUUG